UACGAAAGGGGCUACCGUUGUUAGGAAUUACUGGGCGUAAAGCGCACGUAGGCGGCCUUGUAAGAUGGGGGUGAAAUCCCCGGGCUCAACCCGGGAACUGCCUUCAUGACUGCAAAGCUUGAGGAUGCGAGAGGUUAGCGGAAUUCCGAGUGUAGAGGUGAAAUUCGUAGAUAUUCGGAAGAACACCAGUGGCGAAGGCGGCUAACUGGCGCAUUUCUGACGCUGAGGUGCGAAAGCGUGGGGAGCAAACAGG
rnacentral:rRNA from 1 species